GCCUACACCCUACACUAGAGAAGGGGUGAGAGAAGCCUACACCCUACACUAGAGAAGGGGUGAGAGAAGUGAAGGGGUGAGAGAAGCCUACACCCUACACUAGAGAAGGGAUGGGGUAGGGGUGAGAGAAGCCUACACCCUACACUAGAGAAGGGAUGGGGUAGGGGUGAGAGAAGCCUACACCCUACACUAGAGAAGGGAUGGGGUAGGGGUGAGUGUUAUGUCGCCAGCCCCCCAAACAUAACACUGUCCUAUAAUAUAACCGGAUGAACUCCUUUAUGAAUGGGCUUUGUAAUGGUUGUUUUGAUCAAAUGUCUGGCAAUCCUGUGGUAAGUGAUUCAUUGAUGCUGUAAAGCAAUUAGCAUUGGAAUAAAUACUGGAAUAAAUAGUUGAUUGAUUUGAUGGA